UUGCUCUAACCAUCUGUGAUUCUCUGAUUCAGAUAUUCAUGAUUCUAGCAUGAGACUACCCUAUAACUCCAGGAAUGGCCCUCCUGUUCUGGGAGCAAAUCUCCUCCUCACAGGAUGCCUUUCAUCAUGAAAGCAGCAAAAAGGGACUCGUGAUGUGAGCAUGAAGGGGUAUGGGGGCCUCUCCUAGGAACUGGUCUCCCAGGAUCCCCAGAAUCACUACAUUUAUCUUUCCCAUCAUGCUCUUAAUCUCUGAAAAUUUAAUGGCACGGCCAUAAACUGCCUAAAGAACACAGCUGACCCGUCACCAAUAAAUCAGAAACUCCCGGUGAUGCUUUGGGAUAAAUGAUAGCCCCUCGGAUCAGUGGGCAGAUGAGCUGGGGAUGUUUGAUGAACCCAAGAAAGAUCUCAACCCGCACCCUGCUGGGGUAGGAGGCAUUGCUAAGAAGUCAGGGAGUGUGCUGAGUGGAUCAAGAGGCCCCCAGAGUCAUCCCUGGGUGUUUGGACAGAAGCAGACUGAUGCUUUCAAACUGUGGUACUAGAGAAGAGUCUUGUGAGUCCCUUGGACUGCAAGGAAAUCAACCCUGAAUAUUCAUUGGAAGGACUGAUGCUGAUGCUGAAGCUCCAGUACUUUGGCCACCUGAUGCGAAGACCGGACUCACUCGAAAAGACCCUGAUGCUGGGAAGGAUCGAAGGCAGGAGGAGAAGGGGAGGACAGAGGAUGAGAUGGUGGGAUGGCAUCACCGACUCAAUGGACGUGAAUUUGAGCAAGCUCCGGGAGAUAGUAAUGGACAGGGAAGCCUGGGUUGCUGCAUUCCAUGGAGUCACAAAGAGUUGGACGCAUCUAAGCGAAUGAACAAUAGACCCAAGCUUUCACAGUCACAACUGACCCUAUUUUACCUGGAAAAUAAACACCCAGAGGGAGAACAAAAAAACAACCUAGGGUGUAUGGUCAGGCUAUUCAAGGUGGUGGUUCUCCUGUUCUCUGUACCUCCCCUGCUCAACCCGCCCCUGCUUCACCGGCACCUUCUCCGGUCCCCCAGCCUGUGCCUGCCCCCUGCCCCAGCUAGUGCGGGUUCUAAUCCUUAGCCCCGAAAGGCUCCACCUACUAGUUUACUAAUAGGAAACACCUGCCCUCGAGAUGGUCGUUAACCUGAGGGACUGUGAGCAGCACGUGUCCAAGCGACUGGUUGCCCUGGUAACCUAGCUGACGUCAGUUCCCCCCUAUAAGCGAUAGCAUUCCCUCGCCCCGCCCUCAGUGGUGAAGAUGAUGGCCCCGUAGCAGUCACCGCCUGCCGCAGACAGUGGUGUGUUGCUCCAAGACCUGGCUUCGGACAUGUAAGGUCUUCUGUCCGACGGACCGUGGAUGUCCCUGUCCCUGUCUCCGGGCUCUUUCUUCGGUCUCGAGGCUAGACGACUACAAGGCUCGCGGGCCUGCAGCUUGCAGCCCAACGUGGGGUUAUGGAAAGAGACGUGGACUUAGAAACCUGAAUUACAUGCCCCACUCCCGUCAAAGUCUCCCUGCUCAGCCAGUUGGUUCAUCUGGAGAGUGAGGAUCCCAGUAAAGGAAGAGGCAUCCUACUCUUUAAAAAGUCUCUGUUUAUUUGCGCUUUGUCUUAGUUGCGGCCUCUCAGUGGUAACCUCUGGCCAGCCCCAUUUUACACAGAAGAGGAAAAAUAGAGGCUCAGAAAGACAAAGUGACCUGUCCGGGGUCUCGCAGCAAGUUCGGAUUCAGCCCAACGCCUGAGCCCUUGAUGCCUGGCUUUCUCUGCCCCAGUAGGAGCCUUAGGAACUCUUUGGCUGCCUUUUCACUUUAAGGGGGCUUAGUUGGAGUACCUGGGGAGUCCCAGCUGCACGGCCCACUCCGGGCCUCUGGGGGCUGGUCCACGGGCCGUUGUGAUGUACGCCCUGGCUCUGUGUCCCUCCCGCAGGGGCAACUCGAGAACCAGGCAGAAGGGCAGCUGCUGCCUGGGAUCGGAGGCUUUGGAGUCAGCUCCUAUGGAUGCCGAAUCGGAGGCCCUCCCAUGCCCUGCCUCGGCUGUUUACGAACUGCAACGGCACGUUGUAUCGUGCCUGCAGCAUGCACGCCAGCUCCUCUGUCCUCCACUGUCUCCCAGAGUUUGCUCAGAUGCGUGUGCAUUGAGCCAGCGAUGCCAUCCAACCAUCGUGUCCUCUUCUGCCUCCUCCUCCUCUUACCUUCAACCUUCCCCAGCAUCAGGGUCUUUUCCAACGAGUCAGCUCUUCCAGGCCUGGGGACUCAUCUUCCGGUGUCAUAUCUUUUUGCCUUUUCAUACUGUUCAAGGGGUUCUUGUGGCAAGAAUGCUGGAGCGGCUUGCCGUCCCUCCUCCAGUGGACCAGGUUUUGUCAGAACUCUUCAGUGUGACCCGUCCAUCUCAGGUGGCCCAGCACAGCAUGACUCAUAGCUUCACUGAGUUAUGCAAGCCCCUUUGCCACGACAAGGCUGUGAUCUAUGAAGGGGAAAAAGCGAGAACCAAUCAUUUUUAUAUGAGUAAUUCUAAGAUUCUACCACCUCCAUCACACAGAUGAGGAAAGGGGCUUACUCUCAUCACAGAGCCGAGAAUUGGCAAAGCUGAAGCGUGAACCUCAACCCAUUGACUCCAGAGCCUCUUUGUAAUUCCACAGGCUCUAGCCGAGCUUCAGGGCAGCAGGUAUCCCGGGAAUGUGGGGGCCAGACAGGCUCGUUUCCCUAGGAGUGAGGGCUUUUUGAUCUCAGGGCAGCUACAGAAUGGUCUACCAUUGGGGAAUCACAAAACAAGAAAGCGUAUCAGCUUCUGAUUUACGAGAUGCAUGGAACCAUGCCAGGCAAGCCAAUCAACUGGCAGACAUUUACAUAUUGCUAAAACCUCAUAAAUAAUGCAGAAGAUGACAAACAGCAGAAGCCACCCAGCAACAAGCACCAGCCCUUUAAGCAAGGGGUCUCAAAGUUCAGCAGCAGAAUCUCCUGCAGGCCUUGUUAUGUCCUCGGGGUGUCCAUCCGGGACAUCUGGGGUGACCCUCAAGAAGUCACAAUUCUGUCCAGUUCCCAGGUGGUAGGAGGAGUCACCCCCUCCAGAGGGGCCGCAUUUGAAGAACCGUUGCUCUAACACACUGAUGUUGCACCUCUCCCUUC
ensembl:lncRNA